CCUACGGGAGGCAGCAGUGAGGAAUAUUGGUCAAUGGACGAGAGUCUGAACCAGCCAAGUAGCGUGAAGGAUGACUGCCCUAUGGGUUGUAAACUUCUUUUAUAAAGGAAUAAAACGAGGCACGUGUGCCUUUUUGCAUGUACUUUAUGAAUAAGGAUCGGCUAACUCCGUGCCAGCAGCCGCGGUAAUACGGAGGAUCCGAGCGUUAUCCGGAUUUAUUGGGUUUAAAGGGAGCGUAGAUGGGUUGUUAAGUCAGUUGUGAAAGGUUGCGGCUCAACCGUAAAAUUGCAAUUGAUACUGGCAGUCUUGAGUACAGUAGAGGUAGGCGGAAUUCGUGGUGUAGCGGUGAAAUGCUUAGAUAUCACGAAGAACCCCGAUUGCGAAGGCAGCUUACUAAACUGUGACUGACAUUGAUGCUCGAAAGUGUGGGUAUCAAACAGGAUUAGAUACCCUAGUAGUC
rnacentral:rRNA from 1 species